GUAGGAGGCGAGCGUUAUCCGGAUUUACUGGGCGUAAAGCGCGUGCAGGCGGUUUUCUAAGUCGGACGUGAAAGCUCCCGGCUCAACUGGGAGAGGUCGUUCGAAACUAGGAGACUUGAGGGUGGUAGAGGAGCGUGGAAUUCCCGGUGUAGUGGUGAAAUGCGUAGAUAUCGGGAGGAACACCAGUGGCGAAGGCGGCUCUCUGGGCCACUCCUGACGCUAAGACGCGAAAGCUAGGGGAGAAAACGGGAUUAGAAACCCCGGGUAUUCCUAGCCGUAAACGAUGUCAACUAGGUGUAGGGGGUAUCCAACCCCCCCCGUGUGCUGCAGCAAACGCGGUAAGUUGACCGCCUGGGGACUACGGCCGCAAGGCUA
rnacentral:rRNA from 1 species